CAACAGGUUAGUGUUUCUGUUGUGUGGCGUGUGGUUGCUGAGGCUCUGGAGUCCCCACAGUUAUCAAGGAAAACCAGAAGGACAGCAGAGGCUGCUUGGCUACUGACUGACUGCAGUACCUCCACAGCUCACCCACACUGCAGCAGCAGUCUGGCCCAAUGUACCAUCACAUGAGGGACGUGUGGCCAGAGGAAAGGCUCAGGUUGGCUGCACAGCUUGAGGACAGGAUUUCAACAUAGGAGCAGGCACUUGCUUCACAGUUCCUGGAACAGGAAUAGUAGCUAAGGAAGGAGGACAAAGCUCAGCAGAAAGAGCCGUUUGUUUGGCUUAUAUCACUAAUGACUGUAAGAUUAAUGGCUCCUGUUGUGUCACUCACUCCACGGCCUGAGUCCCCUGAGUGCUACCCUAUGCUGCAGUUCAGAAGCAGCUUGGAAGACUCCGUGGCUGGCUGGCCCAUGCAAUUGGGCUCCAUGAGCAGCUGGACAGGGCAACCUUGCCCCGUGCAGUCCUCCAUACUGAUUCCCUCCUCUUUGGAUGCUUUUACCUCCCUCCCACAGCUCACAUGCACAGCAAACAGGGAAAGGAGAGCAAGUGUCCAAGGCACAUGCAACAGUAGGGGGUUUCUGUCUUGUUCACGGUUUCUACUGUCUGCACUUGUUCAUGCACUUUGGUUUUAUUGUUUUUUUUCCCUGGAAGGUUCUGUUGAUACUGGGGUUUU